rnacentral:rRNA from 1 species
AGCAGCCGCGGUAAUUCCAGCUCCAAUAGCGUAUAUUAAAGUUGUUGCAGUUAAAAAGCUCGUAGUUGAAUUUCGGGAUUUGUCAGUUGGUCGGGCUUCACUGUCCGUAUUGACUUGAUGGAUUCUUACCUUCUGAAUAACCAGCAUGCUAUUAAGUUAGUGCGUUGGGGAAGCAGAUCUAUUACCUUGAAAAAUUAGAGUGCUUAAAGCGAGCUAGUGCUUGAAUAGAUUAGCAUGGAAUAAUAAAAUAGGACGGCAUGGUUCUAUUUUGUUGGUUUCUAGGAUCACCGUAAUGAUUAAUAGGGAUAGUUGGGGGCAUUAGUAUUCAAUUGUCAGAGGUGAAAUUCUUGGAUUUAUUGAAGACUAACUUCUGCGAAAGCAUUUGCCAAGGAUGUUUUCAUUAAUCAAGAACGAAAGUUAGGGGAUCGAAGACGAUCAGAUACCGUCGUAGUCUUAACCAUAAACUAUGCCGACUAGGAAUCGGACGAUGUUAAUUUAUAAUGACUCGUUCGG